AUUCCGUACUUUACAUUUGGUUUGGUGUGAAGCAGCUCCUUGUUCACUGGUAGCGCUCGGUACAGAAAAAAAUGUGCUGAGUUCAGGGGUGGGAGGCUCCUAGGGCCGCAGAGUCAGCAGGAGGGAGAUGGGGUGAGUUAGGCGGCCGCUCUGGGGGGUGAGGAUGGAAUGCACAGCGAUGGCAUGAGAGGAGUCUGGACGUGGCCCAGAGCAGCACAGAGAAAGAGCCCCAGGCUGGGGGCUCGUAGGCUGACCGGUCUUUGUCAGGGUCGGAAGGAGCGAGAGGGUGGCCCUUGGACCGUGUCUACUGAUGUCUUUGCUUUGGCUUGCAUGAUUAAAUAUUUUUAAGUAACCAAUUUAAAAUAAAAAUUUUAUUCAGUUACCUAUAAAUGUGAGAGAUCAGACUCAAAUCCAGAGUCUGAUCUUAGAAAACAAAUCAAUAUCAGGCAACAUCAUUGUAUUCAUUUCCUAGAGCUGCCAUAACAAAGUACCACAAACUGGGUGGCAUAAAACGACAGAAGUUUUUUCUCUCACGGUUCCAGAGGCUGCAAGUCUGAAACCAAGGUGUCAGCAGGGCCACGCUCUCCCUGAGACUCUGUAUAGAAUCCCUCAUUGCCUCUUCUAGCUUCUUUUUGCCGUCUUCCAGUUUUGUUGAGAAAUAAUUGAUACGCAUCUCCGCAUACGUUUAAGGCAUACAGCAUGAUACUUUGAUUUGCGUGUAUCGUGAAAUGAUCACAGUGGGUCGGCUAACAUCUCUCAUCUCUAUAGAAACAAUAAAAAGAAAAGAAAAAGGAAAAGAACUUUUCUCCUUGUGACGAGCGCUCAGGACUUACUUUCUUAACAACUGUCCUGUAUAUCGUACAGCAGUGUUGAGACUGCAGUCGUCAUUUUGCACAUGACAUCCCUGGUACUUAUUUAUCUUAUAACUGGAAAUUUGUACCUUUUGAUCACCUUCCUCCACUCUUCUAGCUUCUCAUGGUCGCCAGCAGCGCUUGGUGUUCCUUGACUCAUAGAGGCGUCACUCUGAUCUCUGCCUCUGUCAUCACAUGGCCUUCACCUCUGUGUGCGUGUGUGUAUGUGUGUGUGUGUGUGUGUGUGUGUGUGUGUGUGUGUGUGUGUCUGUGUCUUCUCCUCUUAUAAGGACACUACACAUAGGGUCAAGAGCCCAAACUACUCCGGUAUAAUCUCAGCUUGAUUCCAUCUGCAAAGACCUUAUUUCCAAAUAAGGUCCCAUUCAUAGGUAGCGGAGGUUGAGACUUUAACAUAUCUCUCUGGGGGGGCGGGGGACACCAUUCAGCUCCUAGCAGUGAUCCUGUGGUGUAAUCAGCGAGGUGUGAGUGAGCCAGGCCCCCAGGAUUGUACCAACCCUGUCGAAGUGGACGGCCUCUCGCUCCGGCAGAUUCCUGUCCCCAGCCUCCUUGCAGCGCCUUGGUCACCGAUUCCCACCCGCUUCUUCCUGGUUCCUGUCCAUCUAAGUCUUCACUCUGCAAGGCUCCUUCCUUCCCGAAGCCGCCCCCCAGCCUUUAUCUUCGUGGUGUUUCUCACUACCGCACACUCAGUGACCAUCUUCACGUGGCCCAUUUUGACAAUAACAGCGUGUCUCGUCUGCUCCUCGGUGUAUGUUGUCAGGCCUCUCUUCCUCUCCAUCAACACCCACCCAAGUGGCCAAGCAGCACACGUUUCCUCUCGAAUCCUAUCAGCAUGAGCCUGAGCGACUGGAAAAUCGCAUCUAUGCGUCCUCUUCCCCUCCGGACACAGGCCAGAGGUUCUGCCCGUCCUCCUUCCAGAGUUCAGCCAGGCCUCCGUCAGCAUGGCCAACACACCAUUCUCCCUCCAAAUCUGCGGCGCUGGCGGCGGCCCCGGGACCCGCGGAAGCCGGCAUGCUGGAGAAAUUCGAGUUGGAAGAAGAAGCGGAAGACUCAGAAAGUGGUGUUUACAUGCGAUUCAUGAGGUCACACAAGUGUUACGACAUCGUUCCAACCAGCUCCAAGCUUGUGGUCUUUGAUACCACGUUACAAGUUAAAAAGGCCUUCUUUGCCCUAGUAGCCAACGGUGUCCGAGCAGCGCCUUUGUGGGAGAGUAAAAGACAAAGUUUUGUAGGAAUGCUAACAAUUACAGAUUUCAUUAAUAUACUUCAUAGAUACUAUAAAUCACCCAUGGUACAGAUUUAUGAAUUAGAGGAACAUAAGAUUGAAACAUGGAGGGAGCUUUAUUUACAAGAAACAUUUAAGCCUUUAGUGAAUAUAUCUCCAGAUGCAAGCCUCUUCGAUGCUGUACACUCGUUGAUCAAAAAUAAAAUCCACAGAUUGCCAGUUAUUGACCCUAUCAGUGGGAAUGCACUUUAUAUACUUACCCACAAAAGAAUCCUCAAGUUCCUCCAGCUUUUUAUGUCUGAUAUGCCAAAGCCUGCUUUCAUGAAGCAGAACCUGGGUGCGCUCGGAAUCGGGACCUACCACAACAUCGCCUUCAUACACCCAGACACUCCCAUCAUUAAAGCCUUGAACGUCUUCGUGGAAAGACGAGUGUCAGCCUUGCCUGUUGUGGACGAGUCAGGAAAAGUUGUAGAUAUUUAUUCCAAAUUUGAUGUAAUUAACCUUGCUGCUGAAAAAACGUACAACAACCUAGACAUCACAGUGACCCAGGCCCUGCAGCACCGGUCACAGUAUUUCGAAGGCGUAGUCAAGUGCAGUAAGCUGGAAGUACUGGAGACCAUCGUGGACAGAAUAGUGAGAGCUGAGGUCCAUCGGCUGGUGGUAGUAAACGAAACAGACAGUAUCGUGGGUAUUAUUUCCCUGUCGGAUAUUCUGCAAGCCCUGAUACUCACCCCUGCAGGACUACUAACGGGAAAUCCGGAGGGAGAUUCUUUGGGAUCUAAGUACUGAAACCGUCUACCCUUCAAAAAAAAAAAGAAAAGCUUACUAGUAUUUUAGUACAGCGUUCGAGUUCAACAUGUGUGCACACUACAGAGUGAUCACCCCCCCAAGUCCAGCUGUCAUCCACCACCAUACAGCUGAGCCUCUCACCCACUGCACCCACACCCACCCCCUUCCCUUCUGGUGCCAAGCAGAAGGAGACAGAAACCGAAUGACAGCCGUGAGUGGAGGAGCCCUUGCAGGAGACCUUGAACAAAGAUGCUGGGUCACGCUUUGCCUCAUGAACACUGACCGCAAUAGAACAGAGUCCAAUGGCUGAGAAUGUGUAUCAGGGUUUAGUGACGGGUGUUUUUUCCAGCGAUGUUGAUAACUAAGCAUAAAAAAGAAAGAUUUUGUGUUUGAAGAUGCGAGCUUGCAUUAGAAGACUGUUUUCAGACCGUUGUCCGAAAGAUUUCAAAUGCUGUAUGUCAUUAAAGUGCACUGUGUCCUGAAUUUCUAUUAUUUUUCAUUUUAAAGAAUUCACUGGUAUCUAACAGGUAAUAUGACAUAAGGCGAGUGUGUGGCAUAUUGAGAUCUAGUGCCUUAUGUCAGAACAGCGAUAUGUCAUCACUACUGCCCACCACAGCUGGAGCGCGUCCUUGUGAACUGACACUGCUGGAGCGUGAACGUCUGAACCUUUACCAGAUCAGUUUGUUUUCAUUAGAUUUGUUGAAUAGCUGUAAUUUGAAUAUAAAUAAUUACUUUAUAAAACUUUAA